GCUAAACGCGAAGAACCUUACCUGGCCUUGACAUGCACGGAAGCUUCCAGAGAUGGGAGUGUGCCUUCGGGAACCGUGACACAGGUGCUGCAUGGCUGUCGUCAGCUCGUGUCGUGAGAUGUUGGGUUAAGUCCCGCAACGAGCGCAACCCUUGUCCUGUGUUGCUAAUCUUCGGAUGCACUCUCAGGAGACCGCCAGCGACAAGCUGGAGGAAGGUGGGGAUGACGUCAAGUCAGCAUGGCCUUUAUGUCCAGGGCUACACACGUCAUACAAUGGCUGGUACAGAGGGUUGCCAACCCGCGAGGGGGAGGCCAAUCCCACAAAGCCAGUCGUAGUCCGGAUCGCAGUCUGCAACUCGACUGCGUGAAGUCGGAAUCGCUAGUAAUCGUGGAUCAGAAUGUCACGGUGAAUACGUUCCCGGGUCUUGUACACACCG
rnacentral:rRNA from 1 species